CCUACGGGUGGCAGCAGUGGGGGAUAUUGCACAAUGGGGGAAACCCUGAUGCAGCGAAGCCGCGUGAGUGAAGAAGUAUUUCGGUAUGUAAAGCUCUAUCAGCAGGGAAGAAAAUGACAGUACCUGACCAAGAAGCCACGGCUAACUACGUGCCAGCAGCCGCGGUAAUACGUAGGGGGCAAGCGUUAUCCGGAUUUACUGGGUGUAAAGGGAGCGUAGACGGUUAGUUAAGUCUGGAGUGAAAGCCCGGGGCCCAACCCCGAGACUGCUGUGGAAACUGUGUGACUGGAGUGCAGGAGGGGCAGGCGGAAUGCCUGGUGUAGCGGUGAAAUGCAUAGAUAUCAGGAGGAACACCGGCGGCGAAGGCGGCCUGCUGGACUGAAACUGACGUUGAGGCUCGAAAGCGUGGGGAGCAAACAGGAUUAGAUACCCGGGUAGUC
rnacentral:rRNA from 1 species